CCAGCUUGCUGGUCGGAUCAGUGGCGAACGGGUGAGUAACACGUGAGUAACCUGCCCCAGACUCUGGGAUAAGCCUUGGAAACGAGGUCUAAUACUGGAUAUGAGAUGCCCCUGCAUGGGGAGUGUCUGGAAAGAUUUAUCGGUCUGGGAUGGACUCGCGGCCUAUCAGCUUGUUGGUGGGGUAAUGGCCUACCAAGGCGACGACGGGUAGCCGGCCUGAGAGGGCGACCGGCCACACUGGGACUGAGACACGGCCCAGACUCCUACGGGAGGCAGCAGUGGGGAAUAUUGCACAAUGGGCGCAAGCCUGAUGCAGCGACGCCGCGUGAGGGAUGAAGGCCUUCGGGUUGUAAACCUCUUUCAGCAGGGAAGAAGCGCAAGUGACGGUACCUGCAGAAGAAGCGCCGGCUAACUACGUGCCAGCAGCCGCGGUAAUACGUAGGGCGCAAGCGUUGUCCGGAAUUAUUGGGCGUAAAGAGCUCGUAGGCGGUUUGUCGCGUCUGGUGUGAAAACUCAAGGCUCAACCUUGAGCUUGCAUCGGGUACGGGCAGACUAGAGUGCGGUAGGGGUGACUGGAAUUCCUGGUGUAGCGGUGGAAUGCGCAGAUAUCAGGAGGAACACCGAUGGCGAAGGCAGGUCACUGGGCCGCAACUGACGCUGAGGAGCGAAAGCAUGGGGAGCGAACAGGAUUAGAUACCCUGGUAGUCCAUGCCGUAAACGUUGGGCACUAGGUGUGGGGCUCAUUCCAC
rnacentral:rRNA from 1 species